rnacentral:rRNA from 1 species
GAUGAACGCUGGCGGCGUGCCUAAUACAUGCAAGUCGAGCGAACGGACGAGAAGCUUGCUUUUCUGAUGUUAGCGGCGGACGGGUGAGUAACACGUGGAUAACCUACCUAUAAGACUGGGAUAACUUCGGGAAACCGGAGCUAAUACCGGAUAAUAUUUUGAACCGCAUGGUUCAAAAGUGAAAGACGGUCUUGCUGUCACUUAUAGAUGGAUCCGCGCUGCAUUAGCUAGUUGGUAAGGUAACGGCUUGCCAAGGCAACGAUGCAUAGCCGACCUGAGAGGGUGAUCGGCCACACUGGAACUGAGACACGGUCCAGACUCCUACGGGAGGCAGCAGUAGGGAAUCUUCCGCAAUGGGCGAAAGCCUGACGGAGCAACGCCGCGUGAGUGAUGAAGGUCUUCGGAUCGUAAAACUCUGUUAUUAGGGAAGAACAUAUGUGUAAGUAACUGUGCACAUCUUGACGGUACCUAAUCAGAAAGCCACGGCUAACUCCGUG